rnacentral:rRNA from 1 species
UAGGGAAUCUUCCGCAAUGGACGAAAGUCUGACGGAGCAACGCCGCGUGAGUGAUGAAGGUUUUCGGAUCGUAAAACUCUGUUAUUAGGGAAGAACAAAUGCGUAAGUAACUGUGCGCAUCUUGACGGUACCUAAUCAGAAAGCCACGGCUAACUACGUGCCAGCAGCCGCGGUAAUACGUAGGUGGCAAGCGUUAUCCGGAAUUAUUGGGCGUAAAGCGCGCGUAGGCGGGUUCUUAAGUCUGAUGUGAAAGCCCACGGCUCAACCGUGGAGGGUCAUUGGAAACUGGGAAACUUGAGUACAGAAGAGGAAAGUGGAAUUCCAUGUGUAGCGGUGAAAUGCGCAGAGAUAUGGAGGAACACCAGUGGCGAAGGCGACUUUCUGGUCUGUAACUGACGCUGAUGUGCGAAAGCGUGGGGAUCAAACA